rnacentral:rRNA from 1 species
AACCAACAGGGAUUGCCCUAGUAACGGCGAGUGAAGCGGCAACAGCUCAAAUUUGAAAUCUGGCUUCGGCCCGAGUUGUAAUUUGCAGAGGAAGCUUUAGGCGCGGCACCUUCUGAGUCCCCUGGAACGGGGCGCCACAGAGGGUGAGAGCCCCGUAUAGUUGGAUGCCUAGCCUGUGUAAAGCUCCUUCGACGAGUCGAGUAGUUUGGGAAUGCUGCUCAAAAUGGGAGGUAAAUUUCUUCUAAAGCUAAAUACCGGCCAGAGACCGAUAGCGCACAAGUAGAGUGAUCGAAAGAUGAAAAGCACUUUGAAAAGAGGGUUAAAUAGCACGUGAAAUUGUUGAAAGGGAAGCGCUUGUGACCAGACUUGCGCCAGGCUGAUCAUCCGGUGUUCUCACCGGUGCACUCUGCCCGGCGCAGGCCAGCAUCGGUUCUCGCGGGGGGAUAAAGGCCCCGGGAACGUAGCUCCUCCGGGAGUGUUAUAGCCCGGGGCGUAAUGCCCUCGCGGGGACCGAGGACCGCGCAUCUUGCAAGGAUGCUGGCGUAAUGGUCACCAGCGACCCGUCUUGAAACACGGACCAAGGAGUCAAGGUUUUGCGCGAGUGUUUGGGUGUAAAACCCGCACGCGUAAUGAAAGUGAACGUAGGUGAGAGCUUCGGCGCAUCAUCGACCGAUCCUGAUGUAUUCGGAUGGAUUUGAGUAGGAGCGUUAAGCCUUGGACCCGAAAGAUGGUGAACUAUGCUUGGAUAGGGUGAAGCCAGAGGAAACUCUGGUGGAGGCUCGCAGCGGUUCUGACGUGCAAAUCGAUCGUCAAAUCUGAGCAUGGGGCGAAAGACUAAUCGA